UACGGAGGGUGCAAGCGUUAUCCGGAUUCACUGGGUUUAAAGGGUGCGUAGGCGGGUAUUUAAGUCAGUGGUGAAAUACCUGAGCUUAACUUGGGAACUGCCAUUGAUACUAUUUGUCUUGAAUGUCGUGGAGGUUAGCGGAAUAUGUCAUGUAGCGGUGAAAUGCUUAGAUAUGACAUAGAACACCUAUUGCGAAGGCAGCUAACUACGCGAAUAUUGACGCUGAGGCACGAAAGCGUGGGGAUCAAACAGG
rnacentral:rRNA from 1 species